UACAGAGGGUGCGAGCGUUGUCCGGAGUUACUGGGCGUAAAGGGCACGCAGGCGGUCGGGUAAGUUUGGAGUGACAAUUCUCGGCUUAACUGAGAAGGGUCUUCGAAGACUGCCCGACUUGAGGGCUCACGAGGGACACGGAAUUCCGGGUGGAGUGGUGAAAUGCGUAGAUAUCCGGAGGAACACCAAAGGCGAAGGCAGUGUCCUGGGGAGUACCUGACGCUCAGGUGCGAAAGCUAGGGGAGCAAACGGG
rnacentral:rRNA from 1 species